GAUGAACGCUGGCGGCGUGCCUAAUACAUGCAAGUCGAGCGAAGCGGGGACGGGUGAGUAACGUGUGGAUAACCUCCUAUAAAACUGGGUUACCUUCGGGAAACCGGAGCUAUCCCGGAUACUUCUCGUUUGAUACUCGCUGCAUUAGCUAGUUGUUAAGGUAACGGCUUACCAAGGCAACGAUGCCUAGCCGACCUGAGAGGGUGAUCGGCCACACUGGAACUGAGACACGGUCCAGACUCCUACGGGAGGCAGCAGUAGGGAAUCUUGCGCAAUGGGCGAAAGCCUGACGGAGCAAUGCCGCGUGAAUGAAGAAGGUCCUCGGAUCGUAAAACUCUGUUAGUAGGGAAGUGGUACCGACUCAGAAAGCCACGGCUAACUACGUGCCAGCCGCCGCGGUAAUUC
rnacentral:rRNA from 1 species